UUAAGUUAUUAAGGGCGCACGGUGGAUGCCUUGGCACUAGAAGCCGAUGAAGGACGUUACUAACGACGAUAUGCUUUGGGGAGCUGUAAGUAAGCUUUGAUCCAGAGAUUUCCGAAUGGGGAAACCCAGCAUGAGUUAUGUCAUGUUAUCGAUAUGUGAAUACAUAGCAUAUCAGAAGGCACACCCGGAGAACUGAAACAUCUUAGUACCCGGAGGAAGAGAAAGAAAAUUCGAUUCCCUUAGUAGCGGCGAGCGAAACGGGAAGAGCCCAAACCAACAAGCUUGCUUGUUGGGGUUGUAGGACACUCUAUACGGAGUUACAAAGGACGACAUUAGACGAAUCAUCUGGAAAGAUGAAUCAAAGAAGGUAAUAAUCCUGUAGUCGAAAAUGUUGUCUCUCUUGAGUGGAUCCUGAGUACGACGGAGCACGUGAAAUUCCGUCGGAAUCUGGGAGGACCAUCUCCUAAGGCUAAAUACUCUCUAGUGACCGAUAGUGAACCAGUACCGUGAGGGAAAGGUGAAAAGCACCCCGGAAGGGGAGUGAAAUAGAACCUGAAACCGUGUGCUUACAAGUAGUCAGAGCCCGUUAAUGGGUGAUGGCGUGCCUUUUGUAGAAUGAACCGGCGAGUUACGAUUUGAUGCAAGGUUAAGCAGUAAAUGUGGAGCCGUAGCGAAAGCGAGUCUGAAUAGGGCGUUUAGUAUUUGGUCGUAGACCCGAAACCAGGUGAUCUACCCUUGGUCAGGUUGAAGUUCAGGUAACACUGAAUGGAGGACCGAACCGACUUACGUUGAAAAGUGAGCGGAUGAACUGAGGGUAGCGGAGAAAUUCCAAUCGAACCUGGAGAUAGCUGGUUCUCUCCGAAAUAGCUUUAGGGCUAGCCUCAAGUGAUGAUUAUUGGAGGUAGAGCACUGUUUGGACGAGGGGCCCCUCUCGGGUUACCGAAUUCAGACAAACUCCGAAUGCCAAUUAAUUUAACUUGGGAGUCAGAACAUGGGUGAUAAGGUCCGUGUUCGAAAGGGAAACAGCCCAGACCACCAGCUAAGGUCCCAAAAUAUAUGUUAAGUGGAAAAGGAUGUGGCGUUGCCCAGACAACUAGGAUGUUGGCUUAGAAGCAGCCAUCAUUUAAAGAGUGCGUAAUAGCUCACUAGUCGAGUGACACUGCGCCGAAAAUGUACCGGGGCUAAACAUAUUACCGAAGCUGUGGAUUGUCCUUUGGACAAUGGUAGGAGAGCGUUCUAAGGGCGUUGAAGCAUGAUCGUAAGGACAUGUGGAGCGCUUAGAAGUGAGAAUGCCGGUGUGAGUAGCGAAAGACGGGUGAGAAUCCCGUCCACCGAUUGACUAAGGUUUCCAGAGGAAGGCUCGUCCGCUCUGGGUUAGUCGGGUCCUAAGCUGAGGCCGACAGGCGUAGGCGAUGGAUAACAGGUUGAUAUUCCUGUACCACCUAUAAUCGUUUUAAUCGAUGGGGGGACGCAGUAGGAUAGGCGAAGCGUGCGAUUGGAUUGCACGUCUAAGCAGUAAGGCUGAGUAUUAGGCAAAUCCGGUACUCGUUAAGGCUGAGCUGUGAUGGGGAGAAGACGUUGUGUCUUCGAGUCGUUGAUUUCACACUGCCGAGAAAAGCCUCUAGAUAGAAAAUAGGUGCCCGUACCGCAAACCGACACAGGUAGUCAAGAUGAGAAUUCUAAGGUGAGCGAGCGAACUCUCGUUAAGGAACUCGGCAAAAUGACCCCGUAACUUCGGGAGAAGGGGUGCUCUUUAGGGUUAACGCCCAGAAGAGCCGCAGUGAAUAGGCCCAAGCGACUGUUUAUCAAAAACACAGGUCUCUGCUAAACCGUAAGGUGAUGUAUAGGGGCUGACGCCUGCCCGGUGCUGGAAGGUUAAGAGGAGUGGUUAGCUUCUGCGAAGCUACGAAUCGAAGCCCCAGUAAACGGCGGCCGUAACUAUAACGGUCCUAAGGUAGCGAAAUUCCUUGUCGGGUAAGUUCCGACCCGCACGAAAGGCGUAACGAUUUGGGCACUGUCUCAACGAGAGACUCGGUGAAAUCAUAGUACCUGUGAAGAUGCAGGUUACCCGCGACAGGACGGAAAGACCCCGUGGAGCUUUACUGUAGCCUGAUAUUGAAAUUCGGCACAGCUUGUACAGGAUAGGUAGGAGCCUUUGAAACGUGAGCGCUAGCUUACGUGGAGGCGCUGGUGGGAUACUACCCUAGCUGUGUUGGCUUUCUAACCCGCACCACUUAUCGUGGUGGGAGACAGUGUCAGGCGGGCAGUUUGACUGGGGCGGUCGCCUCCUAAAAGGUAACGGAGGCGCUCAAAGGUUCCCUCAGAAUGGUUGGAAAUCAUUCAUAGAGUGUAAAGGCAUAAGGGAGCUUGACUGCGAGACCUACAAGUCGAGCAGGGUCGAAAGACGGACUUAGUGAUCCGGUGGUUCCGCAUGGAAGGGCCAUCGCUCAACGGAUAAAAGCUACCCCGGGGAUAACAGGCUUAUCUCCCCCAAGAGUUCACAUCGACGGGGAGGUUUGGCACCUCGAUGUCGGCUCAUCGCAUCCUGGGGCUGUAGUCGGUCCCAAGGGUUGGGCUGUUCGCCCAUUAAAGCGGUACGCGAGCUGGGUUCAGAACGUCGUGAGACAGUUCGGUCCCUAUCCGUCGUGGGCGUAGGAAAUUUGAGAGGUGCUGUCCUUAGUACGAGAGGACCGGGAUGGACAUACCUCUGGUGUACCAGUUGUCGUGCCAACGGCAUAGCUGGGUAGCUAUGUGUGGACGGGAUAAGUGCUGAAAGCAUCUAAGCAUGAAGCCCCCCUCAAGAUGAGAUUUCCCAACUUCGGUUAUAAGAUCCCUCAAAGAUGAUGAGGUUAAUAGGUUCGAGGUGGAAGCAUGGUGACAUGUGGAGCUGACGAAUACUAAUCGAUCGAAGACUUAAUCAA
rnacentral:rRNA from 1 species